rnacentral:rRNA from 1 species
UACGUAGGGUGCAAGCGUUAAUCGGAAUUACUGGGCGUAAAGCGUGCGCAGGCGGUUUUGUAAGUCUGACGUGAAAUCCCCGGGCUCAACCUGGGAAUUGCGUUGGAGACUGCAAGGCUAGAAUCUGGCAGAGGGGGGGAGAAUUCCACGUGUAGCAGUGAAAUGCGUAGAGAUGUGGAGGAACACCGAUGGCGAAGGCAGCCCCCUGGGUCAAGAUUGACGCUCAUGCACGAAAGCGUGGGGAGCAAACAGG